UGGAGUGGGCACCGCAAAAGUAAAAAAUAUACGGAUAAAGAAGCGCACACCUCUCCGUACCUUUACCAAAUUCCCUUCUCUCUCUUCCUCAAACCAAUUUCCAAUUCGAUUCCUUCUCUUUCGUUGAGAUCCUCGCAAUUCAUAGCCUUUCUACUUUCUAGUUUCAAUUCAGUCUGGGCCUCACCGAAGCUAGACAUUUGUUACAGGACUUUGGACUCCGUGAAAAAAGAUUCCGAUGAAACAAUGAUGUCUUCUUCCUAAGUUUCAGAGGUGCACGCACUCGCUAUGGUUUUACAGGCCAUGUAUAUGAGGUUCUAUGUAACCUCUAUGGAGAAUGUUCACAAGGAUGGUGCACUGAAUCUCGAAUUUAUCCAAAGAAUUUUUAAAGAGAUAUCAAGUAUUAAAUUGAAUUGCACGAAGUUAUUUGUUGCUAAAUAUCUAGUGGGAAUUGAUUCUCGAGUGGAGGCCAUAGAUUUGAAGUCAAAUGAUGUUUGCAUGGUAGGAAUUCAUGGCAUGGGGGGAGUAGGUAAGAAUACAAUCACAAAAGCUGUUUAUAAUAGAAUUGCUGAUCAUUUUGAAGGAAGUUGCUUUCUUGAAAAUAUAAGAGAAAAGUCAAGAACAAAUGAUGGCCUACUCCAACUACAAGAAGCACUUCUUUCUAAGAUCUUUGGGGAUAGAUAUUUCAAGUUAAACAGCGUACCUGAAGGAAUCAAUAGAAUGAUAGAAAGACUUUUCCGUACAAGGGUUCUAUUAAUUCUUGAUGAUGUUGAUGAAUCGAGAAAUAGAAAAUUUGUUUGGAGAAUGUGAUUGGUUUACUUCAGGAAGUAGAAUCAUUAUAACAACAAGAGACAAACAAGCACUCUUGGAAAAGAUCAUCCAAUUUAUGAGGAUAAGGAAUUGAAUCAAUGUGAAGCUCGUGAACUCUUUGAACUACAUGUCUUCCAGAUAGACAAAUGAACUUAAGGAAGAGUAUUCAAAACUUUCAAAGCAGAUUAUACAUUAUGCCAGUGGUCUUCCAUUAGAUGUGAAUGGGAAAGUGCAUUAGAAAAAUAUAAACAUAUUCCUCAUGAAAAAAUCCAAGAAGAACUCAAAAUAAGCUUUGAUGGAGAAAUAUAUUUUUCUUGAUAUUGCAUGUUUCUUCAAGGGAUUCUACAAGGAUUAUGUUGUAAAUAUAUUAUAAAUGCUUGCAAUUUAUGUCUGGAUUACGGUACCAGAAGACGUAUGGAUAAGUGUCUCAAAACUGUUGUGGUCAAUUAUCAAUGCAUGACUUGCUACCCAACAAAUGGGUAGGGAAAUUUUUCAACAAGAAUCAAAAGAGCCUGGAAAUCAUAGCAAAGGAUAUGGUGUUAUAAAGAUGCUCAUGAAGUACUAACUAGAAAAAUGGUACUUUGGUUUCACUUUUCCACCCCCAUUUUUAAUGAUGGAGAAAGAUAAGUUUAUCUGUAUACUAUUUUAUUCUCAAAUUUCAAAUCUGCUAUGUUGUGCGGUUUCCUUAAUGGUUUGUGCAAUUAAGGAUCAUGUAAAAUUCUAGGCAUACUGUAGCGCUUGGCUAAACCAAUAAUGGUGAACUUGCAUGCUAAUGCUUUCGAAAGGUUGGAAAAUCUCAAAUUGCUCAUGGUUCGUAAUGUCAUCAUUUGUGAAGAACUUAAAUAUAUCCCAACGGGUUAGGGUGGUUUGAUUGGCCUGAUUAUUAUUUUUCCUGGCCAUCCGCUUUUUGUCUACUGCAACUUGUCAUAACAUGCCAUGUAGUCACAUUCAAGUGGAGUUGCUAUUCAAACAGGAGUUCUAAUUCGAAAAUUUGAAAUGUAUCAAUCUCGAAUCCUGUGAAUUUAUUACGAAAGUACUUGACUUGUGCACCCCAAACUUAGAGGAAUUGGACCUUUCUUCUUGUAAAAAUUUAGUUGAGGUUCAAGAGUCCAUUGGACUUCUUGAUAAGAUUCAAAGCCUCGAAGAUUGUGAAAAUUUCAAUUCUUCCAUGCAGCCUCAGGUUGAAAUCUCUUAAAUGUUUUUAUCUUAAGGGCUGCUCAAGGUUUGAGUUCCCCAAUAUUGGACCAGAAAUGAAAUGUUUAGUGGUUUUAGAAUUACAAAGGAGUGGUAUUAGAGAGUUACCUUCAUCAAUCGGGUAUCUUACUGGGCCUCUGAGAUUAAACCUAUAUGAUUUCCAAAGGCUUCGGAUUUUCCAAAUAGCAUUAAUAAAUUGCUACAGCUUGAGGUGUUACAUAUUUCUACUACUAAAUUGAGACUGACAUGCAAUUCAUUUGAUGACUUCUCUGGGUAUGGGUUUCGUAGUUUGGUAAACACUAAAUCUCUCCAACUAUGGAAAUCUAAUUGAGUUAGAUUUUUUUAAUGAAGCCUGAUUGCUUCCUUGCAUUGACAUAUUUAGAUCUAUAUGGAACCAAUGUCGUUACCAUCCCCGAAAUCAUUAGUAGGUUUACUUGACUUGAGGCACUUCAAAUAAACAAGUGCAAGUAGCUUCAAGAAAUUUCAAGGCUUCCACAGUCUAUAAGAAGAGUGCAUGCAAUGAAUUGCUUGUCGUUGGAUCCACAAUCAUCGAGAAGAUGGUUGAGUAAGAAAUUGAGAGAAAUUUUGGGGCUUUUACCAGAUGGAGUAUGUGAAUGUGCAAGAAGUGACAUACUAAUGGAUCCACAAUCAUCAACCUUAUUAUCGCAUCAGGUAAAAUUGCCCAAUCUGAUGACCUGUCCAUGACUCGGCCAACUCAAAUGUGAUUUUACCUGAUCCCUCAGUUGGCAGCGGGUAGAGAAGACCGAGCCCAAUGGACCCUUGAUCACCCAAAGCAUGAGAAGACCGGGUCUGAGAUAGCUUAUCCCGUGGAAAUCAUUCUCUUUAGUCUUUACCUUGACUGUUGCUAACCCUACUCUUCUUUGAACAAAGAUGGAGUUAUUGGAAUAAAUACCAUGAAUGAUGAUCUUUUAAUUUUACAACAGAAUAAAAAAUAGUUUUUGCCUAU